rnacentral:tRNA from 1 species
GGGGCUGGCGAGGCCCGGAGUCACUGUGCUGGUGGCCGAGGGCAGGUGCAUGAGGGCUGAUGCAGGGCUGCGAGAUUGAUUUGAAAUGAUCGAUGCCAUCUUGAAAGCUGAGACUCCGAAAAUCCGAAUUAAAAAAUCAUCGAACGGCAAGCCUUAUAUGCCUAUUCUGCAUCCUUGGCUGCGUCGUUUUGGGGCCAUAGGGUAGCCUGGUAUCCUACAGGACUGGGGGUCCUGUGACCGGCGUUCAAAUCGCCGUGGCCCCACCA